CACUUUUCUUGACUCUUCAAAGGUCUUGGAAUAAGGGGUGGGUAAGGACGGUGCCAGCCGCCGCGGUAAUACCGGCGCCUCAAGUGGUAGUCGCUUUUAUUGGGCCUAAAACGUCCGUAGCCGGUCUGGUACAUUCGUGGGUAAAUCAACCCGCUCAACGGGUUGAAUUCUGCGAGCACGGCCAGACUUGGGACCGGGAGAGGUGUGGGGUACUCUCAGGGUAGGGGUAAAAUCCUGUCAUCCUGAGAGGACCACCUGUUGCGAAGGCGCCACACUAAAACGGAUCCGACGGUCAGGGACGAAACCUAGGGGCACGAACCGGAUUAAAUACCCGGGUAGUCCUAGGUGUAAACGCUGUGGACUUGAUGUUGGGGGCGCUCCGAGCGCUCUCAGUGUCGAAGCGAAGGUGAUAAGUCCACUGCCUGGGGAGUACGGUCGCAAGGCUGAAACUUAAAGG
rnacentral:rRNA from 1 species